GUGCGCAGGCGGUUCUAUAAGACAGAUGUGAAAUCCCCGGGCUUAACCUGGGAACUGCGUUUGUGACUGUAGGACUUGAGUGUAGCAGAGGGGGGUGGAAUUCCACGUGUAGCAGUGAAAUGCGUAGAGACGUGGAGGAACACCGAUGGCGAAGGCAGCCCCCUGGGUCGACACUGACGCUCAUGCACGAAAGCGUGGGUAGCAAACAGGAUUAGAUACCCUGGUAGUCCACGCCCUAAACGAUGCCAACUAGGUGUUGGAGAAGGAGACUUCUUUAGUACCGUAGCUAACGCGUGAAGUUGGCCGCCUGGGGAGUACGGUCGCAAGAUUAAAACUCAAAGGAAUUGACGGGGACCCGCACAAGCGGUGGAUGAUGUGGAUUAAUUCGAUGCAACGCAAAAAACCUUACCUACCCUUGACAUGCCAGGAACCCUGCAGAGAUGUGGGGGUGCUCGAAAGAGAGCCUGGACACAGGUGCUGCAUGGCUGUCGUCAGCUCGUGUCGUGAGAUGUUGGGUUAAGUCCCGCAACGAGCGCAACCCUUGUCAUUAGUUGCCAUCAUUCAGUUGGGCACUCUAAUGAGACUGCCGGUGACAAACCGGAGGAAGGUGGGGAUGACGUCAAGUCCUCAUGGCCCUUAUGGGUAGGGCUUCACACGUCAUACAAUGGUCGGUACAGAGGGUUGCCAAGCCGCGAGGUGGAGCCAAUCCCAGAAAGCCGAUCGUAGUCCGGAUCGGAGUCUGCAACUCG
rnacentral:rRNA from 1 species